rnacentral:rRNA from 1 species
UACGUAGGCACCAAGCGUUGUCCGGAUUUAUUGGGCGUAAAGAGCUCGUAGGCGGUUCGGUAAGUCGGGUGUGAAAAACUCUGGGCUCAACCCAGAGCCGCCACCCGAUACUGCUGUGACUCGAGUGCGGUAGGGGAGCGGGGAAUUCCUGGUGUAGCGGUGAAAUGCGUAGAUAUCGAGAGGAACACCUGCGGCGAAGGCGGGUUGCUGGGCCGACACUGACGCUGAUGCGCGAAAGCCAGGGGAGCGAACGGG